rnacentral:rRNA from 1 species
ACCAUGCAAGUCGAACGAUGAUCAGGAGCUUGCUCCUGUGAUUAGUGGCGAACGGGUGAGUAACACGUGAGUAACCUGCCCCUGACUCUGGGAUAAGCGUUGGAAACGACGUCUAAUACUGGAUAUGACGGCCGAUCGCAUGGUCUGGUCGUGGAAAGAUUUUUUGGUUGGGGAUGGACUCGCGGCCUAUCAGCUUGUUGGUGAGGUGAUGGCUCACCAAGGCGACGACGGGUAGCCGGCCUGAGAGGGUGACCGGCCACACUGGGACUGAGACACGGCCCAGACUCCUACGGGAGGCAGCAGUGGGGAAUAUUGCACAAUGGGCGCAAGCCUGAUGCAGCAACGCCGCGUGAGGGAUGACGGCCUUCGGGUUGUAAACCUCUUUUAGUAGGGAAGAAGCGAAAGUGACGGUACCUGCAGAAAAAGCACCGGCUAACUACGUGCCAGCAGCCGCGGUAAUACGUAGGGUGCAAGCGUUGUCCGGAAUUAUUGGGCGUAAAGAGCUCGUAGGCGGUUUGUCGCGUCUGCUGUGAAAUCCCGAGGCUCAACCUCGGGCUUGCAGUGGGUACGGGCAGACUAGAGUGCGGUAGGGGAGAUUGGAAUUCCUGGUGUAGCGGUGGAAUGCGCAGAUAUCACGAGGAACACCGAUGGCGAAGGCAGAUCUCUGGGCCGUAACUGACGCUGAGGAGCGAAAGCGUGGGGAGCGAACAGGAUUAGAUACCCUGGUAGUCCACGCCGUAAACGUUGGGCGCUAGAUGUAGGGACCUUUCCACGGUUUCUGUGUCGUAGCUAACGCAUUAAGC